CGUUUGGAGGCUUCCUUGAGCUCGCUAAGUAGGCACCAUGAGCAAAGCUCACCCUCCCGAGUUGAAAAAAUCUAUGGACAAGAAGUUGUCAUUGAAAUUAAAUGGUGGCAGACAUGUCCAAGGAAUAUUGUGGGGGUUUGAUCCCUUUAUGAAUCUUUUGAUAGAUGAAUGUGUGGAGAUGGCAACAAGUGGGCAACAGAACAAUAUUGGAAUGGUGGUAAUUCGAGGAAAUAGUAUCAUCAUGGUAGAAGCCUUGGAACGAGUAUAAAGAAUGGCUUUGUUCACCAGAGAAAUUGCUUCCACAUGUCCCCACGCCACAGCUGCUAUUCUACUACAAUAUAAAAAUUAGGACUUGUACAUUUUCGUGUUGAACUUUUUUGUUAAAUAAACUUUUGUAAUAGU